GACGAACGCUGGCGGCGUGCUUAACACAUGCAAGUCGAACGGUAAGGCUCCAGCUUGCUGGGGUACACGAGUGGCGAACGGGUGAGUAACACGUGGGUGACCUGCCCUGCACUUCGGGAUAAGCCUGGGAAACUGGGUCUAAUACCGGAUAGGACCAUGGUGUGGAUACUGUGGUGGAAAGUUUUUUCGGUGUGGGAUGGGCCCGCGGCCUAUCAGCUUGUUGGUGGGGUAAUGGCCUACCAAGACGGCGACGGGUAGCCGGCCUGAGAGGGUGGACGGCCACAUUGGGACUGAGACACGGCCCAGACUCAUACGGGAGGCAGAAGUGGGGAAUAUUGCACAAUGGGCGGAAGCCUGAUGCAGAGACGCCGCGUGGGGGAUGAAGGCCUUCGGGUUGUAAACUGCUUUCACCAUCGACGAAGGGUUUCUGACGGUAGAUGGAGAAGAAGCACCGGCUAACUACGUG
rnacentral:rRNA from 1 species